AGGAAAAGGUUAAAGGGGAAAACUGAUCCAGGGACUAACUCUGUCUCAGGGGCCAGAGCUGUAAGCCAAAAACGAAGAACAUGGAGACAUGGAGCCACUGGAAGUAAAAGAGCAGGCCCGCCAGCUAGCAAGAUGCUUCUUGUCGGUAGCUUUCAGGAGGUUUUGUAAAGGUACGACCCGCAAGCACACACUGAACAGAGAAAGGGAAUGCUCUUGUCUGAGAAAGAAGCCAGGCUUUCUACAUGCACAUCUGCUGCGGACACCCGGCCCUCAGUUCCGUUUUCGUUCCCAUACGACUUCUUCGAGAAAGGUUUUUAAAGAAUCUGAAGAUAAGCUGGUGGGCUCCGGAACAAAUCCUCUUCCAUAGAAGACAUCUGAGAAAGACCUGAUUCGAAAGAAGAGACUUGAAGACUUGAGAAACUUCCUGUUGACAAUUCUGUACCACACGGCCUGGACGCCCGGAAGACGCAGCUGGCAGCCACUGUCCACAGCCCACGGAGGUUCUUAGGGAAGUUUCUAGAAGACCUUGUGCUUUAGAGAGUUGUGAAAACGCAAGUGUUGUUAGUUCUUGAGAGGGACUUCCUUCCAAGCAGAAGAUGAACUGUGUGUGGCUCUGGUUGCCAAUUUGGCAGAAUCACAGUGGAAGAUGUGAACAGUGGUAAGAGAGCUGUCAGCACGUCAGCAGAGUCUCCUGAAGGAGUUAGGCCCUGGGGUCAGAUGAUUCUCCAGCUCUCAUCUUUGCCACAAAGGGGCUGCCAUGAUCCAAACACAGCGGCUUCUCCAAACACAGAGGAUCUGUCGGUUUGGCUCUACAGCUUAUGUGGGAGCGAGGGUGAUUUGCAGGAGGUAAAGGAGGAUCCCUCUCAGCAUCCUGCUAUCGGUAGUGAUCUCUCAGCAUAAAUCAGCUUCUCAGGCAGAGCUCAGGCUGCUAAAGAGAAGGGAGGGUUCUCUCCAAAAACAGAGUCUUUUUGGCAGAGAUGGUGGACCUGGCAUUGUAAAGAACGGGUUAUGAGUUGAUGAAUUAUUUAUAACGGAUUUUUUUAAAGCACUUGUUGCUAGACUCUGACGCUUUCCUAUCUAAACACCUCCUCUUCUCUGCCUCCACCCUCACCAGAUCCCCCUGUCCUGGGUCCUGUCUCCUCCGGAGUACCUUGGGCUGGGCUGCUUCAUUGUAUUACAAACAAGUUAAUCCCCUUAUGCUCAGGAUGCAAAUGCGAUGGAGCCAAGGUCUGGGAAGCUAUGCAAAACAAUCUCUUAAGAAGCCUUUUCCCUUUUCCCUAAUGCCAGGACAGUACAAGAUGGCAGAUUUAGAAUUUAAGACUCGGAGGGUGCGCAAACAUCAAUCAUGAAAAUCAAACAACGGUCCA
rnacentral:lncRNA from 1 species